rnacentral:lncRNA from 1 species
CACAGUCUCUUAAAAUGAGAUGGACAAUUCAAAUGGUCCUUCAUAAAUAGGUUUUGAACCCGUCUUUGGGGCUACCCGAAAACACCAUUUUUUAGCAUUAUAUACUUUGAUGUGGUUCCUAAUUCACUUGGGCAUUUUAUGAAGAAGAUCCUUAUUUUGUCCAUUAAUCACUACAUCAACAAAAAAAAAUUGUUCGUUCUAGUUAAAACUACUCUGUGUUGACCUCCUUCGAUCUCUGGUUCGUUCCUUGCCAUCUUUCAGGUGAUCUGUUAUGUUUGGGCUUCCGUCCUGACUCCCU